rnacentral:rRNA from 1 species
GAUGAACGCUGGCGGCGUGCCUAAUACAUGCAAGUCGAGCGAACGGACGAGAAGCUUGCUUCUCUGAUGUUAGCGGCGGACGGGUGAGUAACACGUGGAUAACCUACCUAUAAGACUGGGAUAACUUCGGGAAACCGGAGCUAAUACCGGAUAAUAUUUUGAACCGCAUGGUUCAAAAGUGAAAGACGGUCUUGCUGUCACUUAUAGAUGGAUCCGCGCUGCAUUAGCUAGUUGGUAAGGUAACGGCUUACCAAGGCAACGAUGCAUAGCCUACCUGAGAGGGUGAUCGGCCACACUGGAACUGAGACACGGUCCAGACACCUACGGGAGGCAGCAGUAGGGAAUCUUCCGCAAUGGGCGAAAGCCUGACGGAGCAACGCCGCGUGAGUGAUGAAGGUCUUCGGAUCGUAAAACUCUGUUAUUAGGGAAGAACAUAUGUGUAAGUAACUGUGCACAUCUUGACGGUACCUAAUCAGAAAGCCACGGCUAACUACGUG